AUACAGUUCAUUAAUUUCCCAGAGGCUUCUCAGUCAUGCUGUCAGUCCUCAGGACAUAUUUUUAAUCCAUGAGAGCAUGAAGAAGUGUAUCAGAAACUAAGGUGACAGCUUGAGAAUGCCAACACUUGAAGCUGCUCUUAUGCCCUUGUCUAGUGAUGCUGGGAUGUCCUCUUUGACACUUCAUUCAUUCAUUUAGGAAAUAGUUACUGCACACCAGCUGUCAUCCAGUCAUGGUCCUCGGCAGCCACGGGCUAGGAUUGGCUGGUGCCUGGAUAACUCCCCGCCUUCUACCUGUGAUUGGCUCAUCCCUGGACGUCUAACCCAAUGAGCAGAGGAGCAGUUUGCAGGAGCCUCUUCCCAAAGCGCCCACACAGGAUGUGCCCAGAGGUGACUUGUGCUGUCAAUAAGUUUCUGAAUCAGUACAUAGAGAGGGGUAGAGAGUGAAAGAGACCACAGUGCCAAGGCUUCUUUCAAUGCAGUGGGGGCCAAGUUUGAACUUGGGUCAAAGCAGCACGUCAUCAAAGUGAGCUAUUUCACCAGCCCUUUCCUUGGCUUUGUAUGAGAAGCAGUUUGCUUAACAAAGGAUAUAUAAACUCUCACAGUAUCCACAGGGAUGAUUCCAACUUACUCUACAUGUCUGUUUAUGCUUAGUGAUGAACUGGCAGUGACCAGCUUUUUUUUGGCGGGUGUUAUCAGAAGGUCCUGACCUAUAGAACUGACUGACUUCUGUGG